GUCGAGCUUGGUAACUUUAGGUUGUAACCCAAGUGGAGAUAUUAAGAUGAUGUAAGAAGCAAUAUUGGACCUAGUACUAGGUGGAGCCUUAAUUAGUGUUUGUGAAAAUACUGCCCUACUUAGUUGUCCUCUAUUAAAUGUUGCUUCAACCAUAAUUUUU
rnacentral:SRP_RNA from 1 species